rnacentral:rRNA from 1 species
GUGCCAGCAGCCGCGGUAAUACGGGGGGAGCAAGCGUUGUUCGGAAUCACUGGGCGUAAAGGGAGUCUAGGCGGUUUGGUAAGUGGGAUGUGAAAUCCCCGGGCUCACCCCGGGACCUGCAUCCCAAACUGCUGAGCUUGAGUACAGGAGAGGGUGGGGGAAUUCCAGGUGUAGCGGUGAAAUGCGUAGAUAUCUGGAGGAACACCGGUGGCGAAGGCGCCCACCUGGCCUGCUACUGACGCUGAAGCUCGAAAGCUAGGGGAGCAAACGGGAUUAGAUACCCCGGUAGUCC